rfam:Triticum aestivum genome assembly, contig: Triticum_aestivum_CS42_TGACv1_scaffold_526299_6DL
CCUUGUCACUGCUCAGUUGGUAGAGUACAAGGCUCUUAACCUUAUGGACGUGGGUUCGAGCCCCAUGGUGGGGG